UUCAUAAGGUACCGUCACUUCAACUCGAAAGUCGAACGUUCUUCUCUUCAAAAAGCCGUUUANAACCCAUAGGGCCGUCUUCCGGCACGCGGCGUGGCUGCGUCAGGCUUUCGCCCAUUGCGCAAGAUUCCUC
rnacentral:rRNA from 1 species